GGAGGCACGGAAAUGCUAGCCGAGCCUGCUGGCUUGAAAGCCCCCGGGGCCUGGCACCCCCCAAAACGACCCCCCACCUCUGCCCCUGCCCCCUUUCUCGGAUUACCCACGGCUUCCCCUUUCUUCCUGAGUCUACCUCACCUUAUUACCUGUGCUGGCGACCUAAAUUCAAAGUAUUUUGUACGUAUAAUUUCUUUUUCUGAUUUUGCUUUUAUACGGCAUGUCUAGGGGGGAGGGGCCAGCCUGUCCAAACCCCUAUCCAUUUGCGAACCUGCCAUAUGGAAGAGGUAUCUAAGGGGCUCAGAAAGAAAUUAGCGCAGCUCUGUAUCCGUAUAGACUGCAUAACUUUUCUCCGGACUGAAAUAAUAUGGGCAUACACGCAUAGGUACAGGAAAUACAGCCAGUCCACAGCCUUUUCAGCUUGCAGCUGACCGGAAGACAGCCUUUCAUUUAUUCAUUCAUUCGGACAGCCUCAGUUGAAGAGCCUGAAAUAAGAAGUUGGGCAAGAAAAGAAAAAAAGUCUCUACACUCGCUGAGAAGAGAUAAAUCGAUAUACGGGAGGGAAAUACAGAAUCCGAGUUAGCGUCUGUAAUGCAACUCACAUGUAGGAGAAAGUCCUCAGUCCCUUGUGGAUUGAAGUCAAAAAGGAAAAACAAAACUGUACAAAGACUCUCAGGCCUGACCCUUGGGGGAAAGUUUAAUGUUCUCCACAGAAUCCUGCUUUUCGUCCUGUUUCCCUUUCUGUGUAAGGAUGGGAAGAACCCUCGAGGCCACAGAUGAAGCAAAGACAGAAGAGCCUCAGAAAGUCCGCCCACCUCCAGGUGCUGACUUUGGUCCAACCCUGGAGGCAGAUCUCUUCUAUCAAAGGAACGUCAGGGAAGACGUCCUGGAGGAAAGUUUUGAACUUUUAAAGACAAGGAAUCAGCUGACCUCGCUGAGUAGGCGGCCAGGGGAGAAGUUUGAUUCACUUUUUGUGCUGUCAGAACAGAGCCAUGGAGACAUUUCCAUUAAUCUUGUAAAGUGAUCAGUCACUGGAAGGAUUGAAUUGCAUUUCCUGCCCAGAGAUGUGGAGACAGAUGACCUUUGCAGCAGCCCUCAGACCCCCAGUUCACAGCUGGAGAGGGCAUGUGUCAGCAUUUUCUGUCCAGUCUCACCCAGCCCUUUGUUCAGAACUCAAACCCUUUGUGCUCAGGCUGCUGGGGGAUUUUGCAGUGGUUGAUGCAGGUUUUUUUUUUUUUCCCUAACCUCCCACUUCUUACAGCUUCUGAGAAGCAAACUCUAUUUGGCAGAAGAUGGUAUCUAAGAGCUGCCCCAGAGGGAGAACCAGAAUAGACGUGGGGAAUUUUGUGAAGCCACUUGCCCUUUAGGCAAUAACCAUUGUCCCUUCCUAGGUUUCCUGAACAGUCCAGGCAGAACUGGAGGGAGCCACAGUCCAGCAAAUUCAUAAUGCCUCAUGUCUAAGUGGCUCUAUUAAAAAAGAAAGAGAGAAAGCAAGGAAACAAAGCUUUUCUGUGUCUUAUUUCAAUUCGAAGGCACUGCUAGAACGAAAAAGCAUUUACAUAAAGGAACAAUGUAACCCUCAAGAUACAAGGCGCUGGCCAGUUUGUUUGCUCACCUGUGCAAUGGAAGCUGUAGAAACACUUGUCUCAUGGGUACUGUUUGAGCCAGGGUUAGAAAGGGGUUCAUCCAAUGAUGCUAUUCAAAUGAAACUGACGUUCUGGGUACCACAAUCCUACCAUUUUGAUUUCUUCCAAGUUUAAGGUUCAAGGGGAGAGUCACCUGUGAAGGAUGGAGUGGCCGUUUCCGCAGUCAUAACCCCUCUUAGUCUGACCUCGUUGCUCUAUGUAUUUUGAGCC